CUUGUAGUCAAAAGUUUACAAAAAACAUCCAGAAUUUUUUGGAAGCACGAUUUAUUGUUCUCUGCCUUUCGAAAACGCAUUUUAUUCAAUUUGGAAUACAAUCAAAAUGAAGCAUGAUAUAUCGUCAAAGUCUACGCUUUUUCUUACAAUACAUAAUACUGCCUGUACGUAUACCUGAACAUAAUUAACAUUCAGUAAAGGUGUUGAAAUAAAUAGAAACAACCAGGUUACAAUUUAAUGUAGUAUCUACAUACAUUUAUAUAAACAUAUUAUAAAAGGAACAUAUUCUCAAUGAAAUUAUGUAAAAAUCGGAAAUUAUUGAAAAAUUAUUAAUUACAAAAGUUAUUUUUUACAAAAACAUUUUUUUAUUCUUUUUUGUGGGAUUUAAAAUACAGUAAUGUUCCAACAUAACGAACGAUAUAACAUCAAGGCCGUUCGUUAUAUACAUCGAAUCCAUCUUUCCAAAUGAGGGCAUAAGUACAUACUACAAUCAAAAGAAAGUUUUUUUUUUAAAUCACAAAUAUGUAACAAAAAAUUAAUGAUUAUUUUUUUUUGAAAAUAAUUAAAGUUUAGGCCGCAGAAAAAAUGAAUAAUGCUGACCAAAAAAUAUCCAAACAUGAAUACAUACGCCAAUUUCGUUAUUUUUGAGUCAAAAACACUUUUACAGGUUUUUACGGAUGACCUCUCAGAAUAUUUAAUCCGUUUUUCGACAUCUCGUUUAGUUUUAUAGAUAUUCAAAUGUUACUUUGAUUCACCUCCAUUUUUAAAUCUAUUUGGGAUGCAAAUUGAACUAUAUCCAAAAUUGUUGGCGUAUGGAUUAAAUUUUCAAAAAAUUUUUUUAGAAUUUUUUUUACUGCUGUAAUGAUCUAUGUCAUGGAUUUUUUUUAGUGCUGUAAUGAUCCAUGUCAUUGUGUAUCGGCAUAAAUUAUUUUUUGAUUUAUCCACAUUAUUUUUUAUAUUCAUUACCGUAUAGUGUAUACAAUAGGUAGGUUAUGUGAUGGCAACAAAUUUUGCAUAUCGAGUUUUCGGUGGGAACACGCACCUCUCUAUGGCAGGAAAGUGUAAAUAAACUAUUUUUUGCAACUUGUCGGCCUGUCAGUCUGUCGGUCUGUCGUACUGUGUAUGUACGCGUGUAUCUCAAGUUCGGCGGAACCGAUUUUGAUGAAAUUAGAUAUGUAAGUUUAUUUCGACUAUGGCACGGAUUGAUUAAUUAUUGGAAUACCUUAGUCCUCGGGAGCUGCACUUUUUAGCGGGCCUGUUUUACAUUUUUGACCAUUUUGAAGAAAAUAUUCAACCGAUUUACUUGAAAUUUCACAUAUAAGCUUCGCUCGAACGUCCGCGAAAUCUCCUUACUUUUGGAAGGAAUCAGCCAUCAGCAACUGGACGUUUACUACGGACCAAACAUAUAUUUUUGCGUAUAUAAAGAGAAAUAAUCAACCGAUUUCAUUGAAAUUUAAUAUGUACUUAAAUUUCUCGUAUUAAAACAAUGAACUUUUUCGAAAGAACAGGGCUCGAAAACUGAUCUGUGGGCUGAUUUUACAUUUUUUACCAUAUCUACGGAACGAAUUGAUGGAAUUUCUUGAAAUUUGAGUUUUGAGUUCUGGUAGCACAGAACGAAACUCUACUAAGAGCCACAUUUACAUUUUUCUGGGUAUAUUUACUAUAAACUUACUAAUGCCUUAUUAAGAAGUAUUUAACAGACAUUUUUAUAAUAUUUUCUAACACUUUCACUUAACUAGACAAUACAUCUCGGACGGACUUAAUCGACAUGUCUGUCCGUCCGUCUGAUUGCACGAUAACUCAAAAACGAAUAAUUAAAUCGACACCAAACUUUCACAAGUUUUUUCCUUUGUGCCAACGACGGCUGGUAUUGUAAUUUACGACGCGUUCGAAUCAAUUAGCUGCAAUACAACUCAAAGAGGUUCUUUUAAAUAUUUCAAAAAGCUAUAGAGAUAUUAAUAUCUAAUGGGAAGAUGUGUCCAAUUAUACUUCACAUAUUUUCUGAAAAUUUUUAAUGGAAUUGUAAAUUAUUAUUAAUAUUAAAUAUUUUUAAUGGAAUGGUUCGGCUAGUUGCCAUACAACUAUGAAAGGUAAUUUUAAAUUUAUGGAAAAAUAAUAAACCUAAAUUCAUGAAAUUCGGCAGUCGUGUGUCCAAUUAUAGGUCAGAUAUAUUUCUCAAGUUUUGGUGGAAUUGCUUGACAGGUUCGGGUAGCUGAUAUACAACUUCGAAAGUUAAUUUUAAAUAUUUGGAAAAAUAUAUUAAGGCUAGAUUCAUGAAACUCGGCAGUCAUGUGUCCACUUACAGGUCAGACAUAAUAUCUGUGAAGUUUCUAUGAAGUGGUUUGACAAGUUCAAGUUAGUUAUUUCCAAUCAAAGUUAUUCCCAAAUAUUUCAAAAACAAAUUUUUAAACUCAGAUUGUCAAAGUGCAGGGUAUUAUUCAGUCGAUUUAUACCGACUGAAACGUUUUUACUUGUUAAUCAUUUUAAACAAAUCAGAUUUAUUUACGAUUACGAUUAAAUUGUUUGAUUUUAUUUAUCACACUUAAUUUAUGAUUGAAGUUUUACUUAAUAUUUUUACCACUUCUUAAAAAACUCUAAAAAAGCUUUAAACACUGUUUUAAAAGUUUUUGAACAGAGAGAAAUUAGUAUCAUAUUUUAAAGUAAUUCUUUCGCUGACAAAUUCAAAACAUUCAUAGAUUUCGUUAAAAUACUUUUUAAAACGCCUGAGCAAUGCAAUAAUUUAAUUGCCGAGUCUUUUAAUAACAAAUAAAAAUGUUUAAGUCAUUCUUAGCUGAAUGAAUUAUACCCUAUACCUUGUUAUAUUUAUGUCUAACAAAAUUAAGUAAUUUGUCUGUUCGUUAAAAAUAGUUAUCUAAUCUAUUUUAUUUUGGUUUUUUAGUUUUCUUGUUUUUUUUUUAAAUAUUUGUUGAUCACAACGAUUUGAUUUGGUAAAUUUGUCUAUUAAUUAUAAUAUUAGAAACAAAUUUUUUGAUAUUUAUUACAUAGAGAGUACUUAAUUCAAAAAAUUUACCGGUUUGUUUUAUAUUGGAAUGUUCGUAAUAUUGACGCACCGCUGUCAUGCUAACAAAAAUUUUUUUACUCAUCUAACAACCCUGCUAAAUCUGUAUUAGUCGUUUAGCUUUUUGCACUUUUUUAUUGAAUUUAUUUAAAUUAAUUUCAGUCAAGCUGACGAUCUAAGGAUAAUUUAGUCAAAAAGUUUUGUUUUUUAUGAUUUUACAUUGACGAAAGCAGUGCGCAUUCCAAUUCGUUUGGUUUUUUAGUUUUGUUGUUUUUUUUUUAAUAUUUGUUGAUCAAAACGAUUUGAUUUUAUAUUAUUGCAAGCACAUAACCAGUUAACUAUAGUUUAAUAUAACUGUUACUAGCUUUUUCUGGUUUUUUGUAAAUUUUUUUUAUAAAUUUAUA